AUGGCUAAAACAACUGUGGUCCAUAAAUGUAAUAAGUGUACCACAAUUGGCUUAGCCAAUU
rnacentral:pre_miRNA from 1 species